AUGGUUGGACGAAAUAUUAACUGUUUCAUUUAAAUUUUUUAUAGAAUUUUAUUUUUUAGUCAAAAAGCUAAAAUUUAUUUAAAAGACGAGAAGACCCUAUAAAUCUUUAUAUUUUAUUUAUUUUAAUUAUAAAGAUUAAUUUAAUUUUAAUAAAUUAAAAUAUUUUAUUGGGGUGAUAUUAAAAUUUAAAAAACUUUUAAUUUUUAAAAACAUUGAUUUAUGAAUAAUUGAUCCAUUAAUAAUGAUUAAAAAAUUAAGUUACUUUAGGGAUAACAGCGUAAUUUUUUUGGAGAGUUCAUAUCGAUAAAAAAGAUUGCGACCUCGAUGUUGGAUUAAGAUAUAAUUUUGGGUGUAGCCGUUCAAAUUUUAAGUCUGUUCGACUUUUAAAUUCUUACAUGAUCUGAGUUCAAACCGGUGUAAGCCAGGUUGGUUUCUAUCUUUAAAAAAUUAUAAUAUUUUAGUACGAAAGGACCAAAUAUUAAAAUAAUUAUAUUUUAAAAUAUGAAUAUUAUUAAUAU
rnacentral:rRNA from 1 species